GAGUUUGAUCGUGGCUCAGGAUGAACGCUGGCGGCGUGCCUAACACAUGCAAGUCGAACGGGGCCAGCGGCGGAAGGGGAUGGUUUACCAGACCCGGAAGGCGCGGGCCUUAGUGGCGGACGGGUGAGUAACGCGUGGGGAACCUGCCCCGUACCGGGGGAUAACACCUGGAAACAGGUGCUAAUACCGCAUAACAGAAGGGGACGCAUGUUCCUUUCUUGAAAACUCCGGUGGUACGGGAUGGACCCGCGUCUGAUUAGCUGGUUGGCGGGGUAACGGCCCACCAAGGCGACGAUCAGUAGCCGGCCUGAGAGGGCGGACGGCCACAUUGGGACUGAGACACGGCCCAAACUCCUACGGGAGGCAGCAGUGGGGAAUAUUGCACAAUGGGGGAAACCCUGAUGCAGCGACGCCGCGUGAGUGAAGAAGCGUUUCGGCGCGUAAAGCUCUGUCAGCGGGGAAGAAACACGGUUCGCGAGAGCCGCGGACGGUACCCGACCAAGAAGCCCCGGCUAACUACGUGCCAGCAGCCGCAGUAAG
rnacentral:rRNA from 1 species